UCUGCCCUACGGACGCAGCAGUGGGGAAUAUUGGGCAAUGGGCGCAAGCCUGACCCAGCAACGCCGCGUGAAGGAAGAAGGCCCUCGGGUUGUAAACUUCUUCUAACAGGGACGAAGAAAGUGACGGUACCUGUUGAAUAAGCCACGGCUAACUACGUGCCAGCAGCCGCGGUAAUACGUAGGUGGCAAGCGUUAUCCGGAUUUACUGGGUGUAAAGGGCGUGUAGGCGGGAGAGCAAGUCAGACGUGAAAUUCCAGGGCUCAACCCUGGAACUGCGUUUGAAACUGUUCUUCUUGAGUGAUGGG
rnacentral:rRNA from 1 species